rfam:Bombyx mori DNA, contig: Bm_scaf24_contig16140, strain: p50T/Dazao, build 2, whole genome shotgun sequence.
ACAACAUUCGGACCGUCGGUCUACCGAGCAAACAUCACCCGCUCGGUGGAAGAUCUUCCCUUUGUCGU